rnacentral:sRNA from 1 species
GAACAAGCCACUGCGUCAUGCUCGCAUGAAAGCAGGGGCUUGUUCUCAUUGCACGCCCCGCCAUGAGCAAGUAGAGGGGAGGAUUCCCCUUGGAUUGCGAAUGACGGGAGGAUUGCGAGAGUGCUUUGCACGCAGCAAUCCGUGG